UACGAAGGGUGCAAGCGUUAAUCGGAAUUACUGGGCGUAAAGCGUGCGCAGGCGGUUAUGCAAGACAGAUGUGAAAUCCCCGGGCUCAACCUGGGAACUGCAUUUGUGACUGCAUGGCUAGAGUACGGUAGAGGGGGAUGGAAUUCCGCGUGUAGCAGUGAAAUGCGUAGAUAUGCGGAGGAACACCGAUGGCGAAGGCAAUCCCCUGGGCCUGCACUGACGCUCAUGCACGAAAGCGUGGGGAGCAAACAGG
rnacentral:rRNA from 1 species